rnacentral:rRNA from 1 species
UGCGUAGGCGGCCUAUUAAGUCAGUGGUGAAAGGUAUCAGCUUAACUGAUGACGUGCCAUUGAAACUGAUAGGCUUGAGUACAGACGAGGUAGGCGGAAUUUAUGGUGUAGCGGUGAAAUGCAUAGAUACCAUAAAGAACACCAAUUGCGAAGGCAGCUUACUAGACUGAGACUGACGCUGAGGCACGAAAGCGUGGGGAGCGAACAGGAUUAGAUACCCUGGUAUCC